rnacentral:misc_RNA from 1 species
UGUUGAGAACAGUGCAGUAAAAUGGA